rnacentral:rRNA from 1 species
UGGGGAAUAUUGCACAAUGGGCGCAAGCCUGAUGCAGCCAUGCCGCGUGUAUGAAGAAGGCCUUCGGGUUGUAAAGUACUUUCAGCGGGGAGGAAGGCGAUAAGGUUAAUAACCUUGUCGAUUGACGUUACCCGCAGAAGAAGCACCGGCUAACUCCGUGCCAGCAGCCGCGGUAAUACGGAGGGUGCAAGCGUUAAUCGGAAUUACUGGGCGUAAAGCGCACGCAGGCGGUCUGUCAAGUCGGAUGUGAAAUCCCCGGGCUCAACCUGGGAACUGCAUUCGAAACUGGCAGGCUAGAGUCUUGUAGAGGGGGGUAGAAUUCCAGGUGUAGCGGUGAAAUGCGUAGAGAUCUGGAGGAAUACCGGUGGCGAAGGCGGCCCCCUGGACAAAGACUGACGCUCAGGUGCGAAAGCGUGUGGAGCAAACA